CCAAUAGCGUAUAUUAAAGUUGUUGCAGUUAAAAAGCUCGUAGUUGAAUUUUGGAUUCUACCAAUCGGUCCAUCUUUUGAUGAGUACUGGUUGUGUGGGGUCUAUCCGCCUGGUAAUACGUAAUGUCCUUUAUUGGAUGUUGCGGGUAGUCAGGACCUUUACCUUGAAAAAAUUAGAGUGUUUAAAGCAGGCUUAUGCCGGAAUACAUUAGCAUGGAAUAAUAGAAUAGGACGAAGUUGUUUUAUUUUUUUGGUUUCUAGGACAACCGUAAUGAUUAAUAGGGAUAGUUGGGGGCAUUAGUAUUCAAUUGUCAGAGGUGAAAUUCUUGGAUUUAUUGAAGACUAACUAUUGCGAAAGCAUUUGCCAAGGAUGUUUUCAUUAAUCAAGAACGAAAGUUAGGGGAUCGAAGACGAUCAGAUACCGUCGUAGUCUUAACCAUAAACUAUGCCGACUAGGGAUCGGGCGAUGUUGUUUCAAUGACUCGCUCGGCACCUUAUG
rnacentral:misc_RNA from 1 species